ACAAUGAAGAGUUUGAUCCUGGCUCAGGAUGAACGCUAGCUACAGGCUUAACACAUGCAAGUCGAGGGGCAUCAGUUUGGUUU
rnacentral:rRNA from 1 species